rnacentral:pre_miRNA from 1 species
UGUAUUUGCUUCACGUUGAGCCUCACGUACAAUACCUGAAGAUGAAGUUUUGUUCGUUCGGCUCGCGUUACGCAGGU